rnacentral:rRNA from 1 species
UACGUAGGGUGCAAGCGUUUAAUCGGAAUUACUGGGCGUAAAGCGUGCGCAGGCGGUGAUGUAAGACAGGUGUGAAAUCCCCGGGCUUAACCUGGGAACUGCAUUUGUGACUGCAUCGCUGGAGUGCGGCAGAGGGGGAUGGAAUUCCGCGUGUAGCAGUGAAAUGCGUAGAUAUGCGGAGGAACACCGAUGGCGAAGGCAAUCCCCUGGGAUAACACUGACGCUCAUGCACGAAAGCGUGGGGAGCAAACAGG